GGCCUGGUGGUCUAGUAGUAUGAUUCCUUCUUAGGGUACACACCUGAUUUGGAGGAGGUCCCGGGUUCAAUUCCCGGCCAGGCCC